CGCCCCCGACUUGUUGAGGCGAAUCAGCUUCAGGAUCAGGAAGAAGCCGAGCGGGAACAGGGGCAGCACAUACCAGUACUUCUGCAUCCAACGCGAC
rnacentral:misc_RNA from 1 species